UCAUAUCAUAAAAAAUUUUGACGAACGUGUUAUGUGUAUUGCAGUUCUAACAAUAAUCGUGCAUAGUCGCUAAUAAUUCUGAUAUUUUACAUAGUUCAAAGUUCGUAGUUCUCUAACGAUAAGAAAGUUGGAGAGUUCAACUAUAUGUAAUUCGUGAAAUAUCUGAUUAUUAAUAGUCCAAAACAAUGCCAAUUUUAAAAGUUCGCUGUUCUAAAAAGGUUAAUUCAAUGUCGAAAAGUCCAAAUAUUUCUUGUUUGAUUCUGUACAUUCUGUAUAUAAGAAUUUUAUUACUUUUAUUUUGCUUGUACAUUGAUGUCACAAUAAUGAAGUUUCAUACUUUUGUUAUAAAUCUUCUUAAUAUUGGACAUCCGUGAUAUAAAUUUCUUUUUCUUUGACACGCUUGAUAAUUAACGAUAGGGCAAGAUUGAACGGAUGGUAUUAACACGCCAUAUUCAAAUUUCAAAGAAACGAUAUUUCACAUUUCUCACUCUGAUAUAGCGGUCAAAAUUUUAUCAGCAUGGCUUCUGAGAGACUGAAAUAUGCACUACAUAUUUUGUAACCCUCUGUAUACUAACACAGGUUACUUGAAUGGUGCACACAACGGUACAGACUUCUAUGGAUCAUUCACGAUUUCUCCCCACCAUUGACCAUUGGUGUAUUCCGGCACGCGGUUCACACUGUUAUCCACUGCUCCAUACAAACUUACUGUACAUGUACGUUUGAAUGCAGCUUGCAUAUUGUAAAUGUCGAGGCGCCGUCGAUAACCUCCUUCCCCUCGAAAGAGUGCUCUCGCGCACGUGCACGGUCACAAGCGCGAAUACCUGUGUGCGCCCUGGGAAUCGAACGAACGGAAUUUUCGAUGGAACGCGGAGUUCGCCUGGUAUCGGCCACCGUUCUUAGCCGUAUUCUCGCCGCUGUAUUAUUCACGGAGAAUGUUCCUUCAGAGAUUAAGCCACUAUAAUCGGAUAUACGAUACAGUGAGGUUUUGUUUGGAACUAAUUUCUUAUUGUUCGUUUAUCGAAUUCGUUUUGUAUACAUACGCGAUAACAAGUAUAUUAUUAUAGUUGAUACUAAGUAUUGAAAGUUAAUUGUUAUAGUUGCUACAGUGGUUGGUGCAAUCAUGACAACGAAGUGUGAUAAUGUAUCGAUCUUGAAAAUUUGAUAUAGUAUUUAUUCUUUUCUUUUUGGCAGCAUUUGAAUCAUUGUAGCAAUUCAAAUUCCAUAGAGAAGUAAUGCAACGGAACGAUAUCUAUUACCAUUUAACAAACUGUUUGCCAUAGAGGUUACCAAUGAUCACCUUUAGAUUUAUCGAUGCUGUUAUGGGAGAUAUAGUGACCAACACUAACGAAAUUAAUUAGAAUACUUGAAUAAAAAGGGCAGUAACAAAUAUAUUCUUUCCUCGUAAAAAAUUUGUAGUAAUUUUAAUAUUGAAAUAACAGUAUAAAAUUACUUAAUGCACCAGGAAGUGCUCACAAAAUGAAGCGUGUACUCAAUUUAAAAUUACCCGGCAGUCAACGUGUUAUGCAAUAAAUGAUUUGCUACUA